GUCUCACCAACAAAGGUUUGAAAAAGUGAAGUUCAAUGCCCAGUUGUGAGGCAGUCUCCAGUAGAUACUAUUGUUAGGUUCAGCAAAAGCACAUUUACUGAGUAUAAAAGUAGGGCAGCAGCACUGAAAAGCCAGGGGGAUAUUCCCGUACUGCCAGAUUCAUUCAUGUGAAUGCAGCAGAAGCAGUCCACCUUUGUAAGAUCUCUAAUGAACGCUCCUUGUACAAAAGAAGUUCAUCUCAUCAAAAUGUUAUUGAAGAGGCACCAUGCUCUGCUGACAACUCAAAGAGACUAUGUCAGAUGGGACUGAAAAUACAAUCCAGGAGUGCCUCACAUGGAUCAGCCGAGAGUAUGUAAAUAUAAUUCAAACAUCAUAAUCAGUCCUCAAGUUUUCCACGUGCCAGCAAAGAUGCAGAAUUAAUGCCACAGGAACCUGUGUGAAACAUCUUGCUAAUAGCAAGUUUUACAAAUAAUUCGUAUCAGUUGGUUUUGUUUACAUGCAUAAAUAUUGAUAUCUGAUCUUUUUUCAUACACUGCAGCAAAAAGUAUGGCAAGUGGAGUCAUAACCCCAAGCUGAUUCAAUUCAUCCUGAUAGAACCAGUUCUUCUCUUCAACUAAAAAAAAUCAGUACACAAAAACCACAAGUUCUCUUGUCUACUAAUUCUCUUAAAUUUUCCCAGGAGGAGGACAGAUUCCGGAAACUAUAAAAAGGCUGCUGUCCUUAUUGUAGGAACAUGAAAGUGUCCCUUACAACUGAUGAUACUUCCAUAUGACAGCUGCCAGGGGCACUAAUUAUUGCCCUAUAGUCUUCACAUCUGUGUGCCUAUUAGCAAUUAUUAGCUCACCGAACUUCAGAUGAUUGCUUUAUUUCUAUCUACAAUAGAUUCCACAUUCAAAGAGUUGGUAUACGAACCACUCAAACAAUGGUUUGAAAACGUCUUUCAUAAAUUUCAGACCGUCAUUCAAUUGAACUUGGCAUCAUUUUAAAUGACAGUUAAACCCUGCAAGUGGAUAGCUACUCUAAAUGACCAGAUAAUCAUAUAAUGUUGGCCACUUAAUUAGAAAAUGCUUCAGAUCCUAGAUUUUCUGCUGUUUAACAAUGACCACAAUCCACCUGAUUGUAGACUUCUUCAAAUUCAGUCUGACAUACAGAGAAAUUGUACAUAAGGAAUGCAAACAUGAUAAAUGCCUCCAUCAAUGGACAUCUCAUAAAAAUAAUUUUUGUGAAAACAUUCUGUCUGGUGGACUCAUCAGAUCAGUUGACAAAGAUAACAGCAUUAAUGCAACAGACUUCUGUAAACUCUGUGUAACACAAGCAGUGAUAUUACUUUGACCUUGUGUGUAUAAAAAAAAAAAAUAUUCUUCAAAUACACUUUUUCUGGUUCCAGCAUUUCUAAAUACUCUGUUAAAAAAUCUGAAGAGAGAAAACUAAAUUUAAUGCAAUCUAGAAAGCAGGCUCUGUAAUGACAAUACUUCAGAUGUUCAAAUUGAGUACUCAGCAGAAGUUUUGAAGGUUAACUGAACACUGACACUAUGAAAAAUUUAAAAGAUCCUAUACUUAGAAUCUGAAGAUAGAUAACCCAUAGAAAGGCAAGUACAUUUUUAACAGUAAACAAUAAAUAGAAACUGGAAAACCUACUGGGGAAAAAGCAGCUUUUCAUGGAGUCUUUACAUGAACAAAGCUUCUCUUUUUAUAAAAUCUUCUUUUUAACAUCCCUUUUCAAAACACACUGAGAACUACUGAGGUAGUUAAGAACUCUCUUCUAGCUGAUUCUGAGACUUCAUGCUUCUUGCCUAAAAUUUCCAGUAAAAUUGCCUUGUAUAAACAACAGCAGUGGACAUAUAAUGAAAAAUGCAAUCAAUGUCUUACAAAAAAUGUAAACAUUUUGCCAAAAUGUAUUAUUUGUCAUGUUUUUUAAUUUUUGGAGAAAUAUGGCUAGUGGAAUUUCACUUGGUAUCACAUCUCUGUUUUCCUGUCUGCUGGAUGUCCAUAUCACACAGUGUUCCUAUUGUUCACACAAGUCAUUUAACGCAUCAAGAAUAUUGUGAUGGUUCUUGGAUAAGUCAGUACAUUAUACUUAUUUACUUUAAGAAAGGACUGAAACUGACAUAAAUGACAGCUUGAAUAAAGAUAUGAAUUCAUAAUGUCAUCUAGAAAA